rnacentral:rRNA from 1 species
AUACGGGAGGCAGCAGUAGGGAAUCUUCCACAAUGGACGCAAGUCUGAUGGAGCAACGCCGCGUGGAUGAAGAAGGUCUUCGGAUCGUAAAAUCCUGUUGUUGAAGAAGAACGUAUGUGAGAGUAACUGCUCANAUAGUGACGGUAUUCAACCAGAAAGUCACGGCUAACUACGUGCCAGCAGCCGCGGUAAUACGUAGGUGGCAAGCGUUGUCCGGAUUUAUUGGGCGUAAAGGGAGCGCAGGCGGUUAAAUAAGUCUGGAUGUGAAAGCCCUCANCUCAACUGAGGAAUUGCAACGGAAACUGUUUAACUUGANUGCANAANAGGAGAGUGGAACUCCAUGUGUANCGGUGAAAUGCGUAAAUAUAUGGAANAACACCAGUGGCGAAGGCGGCUCUCUGGUCUGUCACUGACNCUNAGGCUCGAAAGCAUGGGUAGCNAACAGGAUUAGAUACCCUGGUAGUCCAUGCCGUAAACAAUGAGUGCUAANUGUUGGGAGGUUUCCCCNUUUCAGUGCUGCANCAAACNCAUUAAACACUCCCCNUGGGGAGUACNACCNCANGGUUNAAACUCNAAGGAAUUGACNGGGGCCCCCNCAANCGGUG